rnacentral:rRNA from 1 species
GAGUGGCGAACUGGUGAGUAACACGUGGGAAACCUGCCCAGAAGCGGGGGAUAACACCUGGAAACAGAUGCUAAUACCGCAUAACAACUUGGACCGCAUGGUCCGAGCUUGAAAGAUGGCUUCGGCUAUCACUUUUGGAUGGUCCCGCGGCGUAUUAGCUAGAUGGUGGGGUAACGGCUCACCAUGGCAAUGAUACGUAGCCGACCUGAGAGGGUAAUCGGCCACAUUGGGACUGAGACACGGCCCAAACUCCUACGGGAGGCAGCAGUAGGGAAUCUUCCACAAUGGACGAAAGUCUGAUGGAGCAACGCCGCGUGAGUGAAGAAGGGUUUCGGCUCGUAAAACUCUGUUGUUAAAGAAGAACAUAUCUGAGAGUAACUGUUCAGGUAUUGACGGUAUUUAACCAGAAAGCCACGGCUAACUACGUGCCAGCAGCCGCGGUAAUACGUAGGUGGCAAGCGUUGUCCGGAUUUAUUGGGCGUAAAGCGAGCGCAGGCGGUUUUUUAAGUCUGAUGUGAAAGCCUUCGGCUCAACCGAAGAAGUGCAUCGGAAACUGGGAAACUUGAGUGCAGAAGAGGACAGUGGAACUCCAUGUGUAGCGGUGAAAUGCGUAGAUAUAUGGAAGAACACCAGUGGCGAAGGCGGCUGUCUGGUCUGUAACUGACGCUGAGGCUCGAAAGUAUGGGUAGCAAACAGGAUUAGAUACCCUGGUAGUCCAUACCGUAAACGAUGAAUGCUAAGUGUUGGAGGGUUUCCGCCCUUUCAGUGCUGCAGCUAACGCAUUAAGCAUUCCGCCUGGGGAGUACGGCCGCAAGGCUGAAACUCAAAGGAAUUGACGGGGGCCCGCACAAGCGGUGGAGCAUGUGGUUUAAUUCGAAGCUACGCGAAGAACCUUACCAGGUCUUGACAUACUAUGCAAAUCUAAGAGAUUAGACGUUCCCUUCGGGGACAUGGAUACAGGUGGUGCAUGGUUGUCGUCAGCUCGUGUCGUGAGAUGUUGGGUUAAGUCCCGCAACGAGCGCAACCCUUAUUAUCAGUUGCCAGCAUUAAGUUGGGCACUCUGGUGAGACUGCCGGUGACAAACCGGAGGAAGGUGGGGAUGACGUCAAAUCAUCAUGCCCCUUAUGACCUGGGCUACACACGUGCUACAAUGGAUGGUACAACGAGUUGCGAACUCGCGAGAGUAAGCUAAUCUCUUAAAGCCAUUCUCAGUUCGGAUUGUAGGCUGCAACUCGCCUACAUGAAGUCGGAAUCGCUAGUAAUCGCGGAUCAGCAUGCCGCGGUGAAUACGUUCCCGGGCCUUGUACACACCGCCCGUCACACCAUGAGAGUUUGUAACACCCAAAGUCGGUGGGGUAACCUUU